AGAAAUGGUGCAUCCCUAGCCAUCGCAGAUAUAGAUGCACAUCAGCUGAUCAGCCCUGUUAACCAUACCGAAGUGGGGGACAAUGCUGGCACACUUAUAGUUAGCAUGCGUGAUGCCACGGACCAGGCAAUGAGUGAAUCAGGUGAAGACGAUGAAAGCUACGACACUGCUUCAGAAGAUGAUCGACAGUUGGUUGCAGCAAUAGAUGCCUCCCUUGCAGAUCAGGCACGUGUAGCACGACUGCCGCCUGUGGUAAUUGAGGAAGGAGGCUACGAAGCUCGUCAACGCAGCCGCAUAGUGGAAAUUGCAG